rnacentral:rRNA from 1 species
UACAGAGGUCUCAAGCGUUGUUCGGAUUCAUUGGGCGUAAAGGGUGCGUAGGUGGCGGGGUAAGUCAGGUGUGAAAUUUCGGAGCUUAACUCCGAAACUGCAUUUGAUACUGCCUUGCUUGAGGACUGGAGAGGAGACUGGAAUUCAUGGUGUAGCAGUGAAAUGCGUAGAGAUCAUGAGGAAGACCAGUGGCGAAGGCGGUUCUCUGGGCAUUACCUGACGCUGAGGAGCGAAAGUGUGGGGAGCGAACAGG